rnacentral:misc_RNA from 1 species
GAUGAAGAACGUAGCGAAAUGCGAUAAGUAAUGUGAAUUGCAGAAUUCAGUGAAUCAUCGAAUCUUUGAACGCACAUUGCGCCCGCCAGUAUUCUGGCGGGCAUGCCUGUUCGAGCGUCAUUACAACCCUCAGGCCCCCGGGCCUGGCGUUGGGGAUCGGCGGAGCCCCCCGUGGGCACACGCCGUCCCCCAAAUGCAGUGGCGGUCCCGCCGCAGCUUCCAUCGCGUAGUAGCUAACACCUCGCGACUGGAGAGCGGCUUGACCACGCCGUUAAACCCCCAAUUUAUCAAGGUUGACCUCGGAUCAGGUAGGAAUACCCGCUGAACUUAAGCAUAUCAAUAAGCGGAGGA